rnacentral:misc_RNA from 1 species
UCAGCCUCGUGUCGCUGAGAUGUUGGGUUAAGNCCCGCAACGAGCGCAACUCCUNGGCCUUAGUUACCAGNGGGUUAAGCCGGGNACUCUAAGGAUACUGCCAGNNACAAACUGGAGGAAGGCGGGGACGACGUCAAGUCAUCAUGGCCCUUACCACCAGGGCUACACACNUGCUACAAUGGCNGGUNCAGAGGGCAGCUACACAGCGAUGUGAUGCNAAUCUCAAAAAGCCUAUCGUAGUCCAGAUUGGAGUCUGCAACUUGACUCCAUGAAGUAGGANUCGUUAGUCAUCGCGGAUCANAAUGCCGNNGAGAAUACGUUCCCNGNCCUUGUACACACCGCCCGUNACACCAUGGGAGUUGAUUGCACCAGAAGUGGNUAGCUUAACCUUNNGGGAGGCGUUCACCACGGUGUGGNUGAUGACUGGGGUGAAGUCGUAACAAGGUAUGCCGUAAGGGGAACCUGNGGCUGGAUCACCUCCUU